rnacentral:rRNA from 1 species
GACGACCGCUGGCGGCGUGCUUAACACAUGCAAGUCGAACGGAAAGGCCCUGCUUGCAGGGUCCUCGAGUGGCGAACGGGUGAGUAACACGUGGGUGAUCUGCUCUGCACUUCGGGAUAAGCUUGGGAAACUGGGUCUAAUACCGGAUAGGAGCCAUCUUUAGUGUGGGGGUUGGAAAGUUUUUUCGGUGUAGGAUGAGCUCGCGGCCUAUCAGCUUGUUGGUGGGGUAAUGGCCUACCAAGGCGGCGACGGGUAGCCGGCCUGAGAGGGUGUACGGCCACAUUGGGACUGAGAUACGGCCCAGAGUCCGACGGGAGGCAGCAGUGGGGAAUAUUGCACAAUGGGCGCAAGCCUGAUGCAGCGACGCCGCGGGGGGGAUGAAGGCCUUCGGGUGGUAAACUCCUUUCGCUAGGGACGAAGCUUUUUUGUGACGGUACCUAGAGAAGAAGCACCGGCUAACUACGUG